rnacentral:rRNA from 1 species
CCCUUAGACGUUCUGGGCCGCACGCGCGCUACACUGACCAGUGCAACAAGCAUCCGUCCUUGGCCGACAGGCCCGGGCAAUCUUUGAACGCUGGUCGUGAUGGGGAUAGACUUUUGCAAUUUUGGGUCUUCAACGAGGAAUUCCUAGUAAACGCAAGUCAUCAGCUUGCAUUGAUUACGUCCCUGCCCUUUGUACACACCGCCCGUCGCACCUACCGAUUGAAUGGUCCGGUGAAAUCUCGGGACGGCGGCUUGGUCGCUUGCGUCCGACUGCUGAAACUUGAUUAAACCAUAUCAUUUAGAGGAAGGUGAAGUCGUAACA